UGUUUUGUGCGAUGACAGACUUAAGUGUUGACGUAUACGACGUCACCACUUAAGUCUGUCAUCGCACAAGACAAGCGGCGCUGAGAAAAGGAGAAAGCGUUUGGGGAAACCCGUUCUCUUUCGACUUCACAAACACACCGCCUCUUCUCAGUAUAAAAGCGCACAGACCAGAUGAAGGCACGAUGGCAUUUUGCUGCGUUUUCUCGCAGUUAUAAACCGCCGCGCGGCUCCAAAUGCGCCGACCAUCUUCAGACAAACAGACCGAUUUUAAUAAGAGAUUAUUUCAAAAAGGAAACCUGUCGGCUGUUUUCGGAUUGAAUUAUGACUCCAGCUCAACACAUCUGUGACAGUAAGAUCGAUCUGCUUCUUUAAUAUGGUUUAUCUGUAGUUUAGGCUGAGAGUAUCAUGAGCCAUACAGAAUAGCAAUAUUGAUUAAUCUUUUCAAAACACUGUUGUGCUUCUGCACGGAAAAAAUAGUCAAAUUCAUUUUAACGUUUUUUUUUUAGAACAACCUCCACUCUUUUGGAAGGCUUUGCAAUAGAUUUCAGUGUGGGGAUUUGUGCUCAUUCGGUCACAACUGUAUGAGUGAAAAAGUGACCUUGUGUGCAGUCAGUGUUCCAGUUCAUCUGAAAUGUGUUCAGUGGGACUGAUGUGGACACAAGAGUUCUUCCACUCAAACCUUGGCAAACCAUGUCUUCAUGGAACUUGCUUUGUGCACAGGGGCAUUGUAAUGCUGGAACACGCUUCAGCCUGAGAGGGGAAAUUGUAAAGCUUCAUCAUACAAACACAUUCUAGACAACUGUGUGCUUCCGACUUGAUGGCAACAGUUUGGGGAAGAACCACAUGCAGUGUGAUGGUCAGGUGUCCACAUACUUUUGGCCAGAUAGUGUAGAUUAGACACCUGAGUAAACGGUGCGCGCCAUGCGAUCAGACACUGAACUAAAAUUGUUUAUAUUUAUGUUCGUUUGUCCCAAAAUGAAUGUAACAUCUGGCUGAUGUGUCAGUCAUCGCCUAAUUUUGAUGCGCACGCUCUAAAAGCUCUGAUAUUUUAAUGAGUUUGAUUUCAUCUCAGAGUCUCAUUGGCUGUUUGUUAGCGCUGUAGCUACUUGCUACUAGUCGCAGAGAGGUUCACACUGCACGAUUCAUCCGAAUAUCAAACAUGCUUGACAAUCCCGGAGCCUCAGUGAACGCUCGCGGACUGAGAAACAUCCUGUCGGUGAGCGUGAGCAGUCCACGGGAGCGCGCACUGAGGAGUCGCCGAACCGGUGAUAGCGAUGAUGGAGAGGAGACUUAGCGGCAGGAAAAAUGAACAGUGAUGAUGUAAUGAAUUUUGUUCCUUGCUUGUCCUUGACUCAGGUGUGUGUACUGCAGCGCUCAGCUGUGUGUCUGAGAUCUGCGAGAGGCUCGUGAACGUCUUUACAUGUGGAGGAGAAAGGCAUGAUCAUGAUGCAGCACCAGAGGGCUCAGAAAAGUCAGAAGAAGGUCUCAUCUCAUCAUCUCUAGCCGCUUUAUCCUUCUACAGGGUCGCAGGCAAGCUGGAGCCUAUCCCAGCUGACUACGGGCAAAAGGCGGGGUACACCCUGGACAAGUCGCCAGGUCAUCACAGGGCUGACACAUAGACACAGACAACCAUUCACACUCACGGUCAAUUUAGAGUCACCAGUUAACCUAACCUGCAUGUCUUUGGACUGUGGGGGAAACCGGCGCACCCGGAGGAAACCCACGCGGACACGGGGAGAACAUGCAAACUCCACACAGAAAGGCCCUCGCCGGCCCCGGGGCUCGAACCCAGGACCUUCUUGCUGUGAGGCGACAGCGCUAACCACUACACCACCGUGCCGCCGUCAGAAGAAAGUCUGUUCAUUAAAUGUGAUGAUUACACUGUUGUUGUUGUUAACAUGUAUCAAGUCUGAUUUUGAUGUAUGUAUGAAUGUGUGUAUGUAUUUUUCAAUAUUUUCAGUACUAUGCGUUACAGUAUAAGAACAUUCUUCAAAAAAUAAAAUAAAUUCACAGCUUAUAAAUUACUGAGAUAAAACCAUCACUGGAGUUUGCAUGUUCUCCCCAUGUCCGCGUGGGUUUCCUCCGGGUGCUCCGGUUUCCCCCACAAUCCAAAGACAUGCAGGUUAGGUUAACUGGUGACUCUAAAUUGACCGUAGGUGUGAAUGUGAGUGUGAAUGGUUGUCUGUGUGUCAGCCCUGUGAUGACCUGGUGAAUUGUCCAGGGUGUACCCCGCCUUUCGCCCGUAGUCAGCUGGGAUAGGCUCCAGCUUGCCUGCGACCUUGUAGAACAGGAUAAAGCGGCUAGAGAUAAUGAGAUGAGAUGAGGUUAUAGGUCACAUUAAAGGUGGAAAAAGUUUUGAAAUUAUUUUUCGUGGUCUCAUUUUUUCUAAUUCACCCAUUUUAACGGGGUGUGUACACUUUUUAAUAUCCUGUGUGUGUGUGUGUGUGUGUGUGUGUGUGUGAGAGAGAGAGAGAGAUUAUAUAUAUAUAUAUGAUGAUGAUGAUUAAUGUUGUUGGUGGCGGUGGUGGUAAUACAGCAAAACAAUCAAUUCGUCAAUUAAUAAAAUAAUCAGUUAGUUUGUGAUUAAAUAAUAAUUAAACAAUAUUAAAGUGCUUAAUAAAAUAAUCACCAAUGUAUUAAUUUGUUAUUUAUAAGUAAUUAUUACCAGCUAAUUACCAAGUAAUUAAUUCGUUCUUGAUUUAUCAUUCAUUCAAUCAAUUAAAUAAUUAAUUGAUUUUUUGGUACUCAAACAUAUUAAUAGUUGAAUUAAAAGGUAAUUAAUCAAUAAAAUUAUUUGUUAAUAUAAUUAAUUAAUUAUGUGGAAUACAAUUAUUUUGCAUAUACGUAUAAAAUAAUUUUAAUGUUUAAUUACAUUUUGAAUUAAACUGUUAAUACUUUUUCAUCCUAUUCAUCACAAUGUCUUGGCUCUGGCAGAGAGGUGUGAUGAGGAUGCAGUGCCAGAGGGUCAGCAGAGUUAGAAGAAGAUCUGAUCAUUUACAUCUGAUCUUUACCCAGUUGAUGUUAAAAUGUGUCCUGCCUGUAAACAUGAGUAAUUUUGUUGUAGGAAAACAUGAUAUGCUUUAUGUAAAUGUAAUGUAAAGGUUUUCUUUAUAUGUUUUUAUUAAAUAUCUCAUUAAAACCCUAA